AUUGAACGCUGGCGGCAUGCCUUACACAUGCAAGUCGAACGGCAGCGGACCUUCGGGUGCCGGCGAGUGGCGAACGGGUGAGUAAUAUAUCGGAACGUACCUUUCAGUGGGGGAUAACGUAGCGAAAGUUACGCUAAUACCGCAUAUUCUGUGAGCAGGAAAGCAGGGGAUCGCAAGACCUUGCGCUGAUUGAGCGGCCGAUAUCAGAUUAGCUAGUUGGUGAGGUAAGGGCUCACCAAGGCGACGAUCUGUAGCGGGUCUGAGAGGAUGAUCCGCCACACUGGAACUGAGACACGGUCCAGACUCCUACGGGAGGCAGCAGUGGGGAAUUUUGGACAAUGGGCGCAAGCCUGAUCCAGCCAUGCCGCGUGAGUGAAGAAGGCCUCGGUU
rnacentral:rRNA from 1 species